rnacentral:misc_RNA from 1 species
AAACUGCGAUAAGUAGUGUGAAUUGCAUUUAGUGAAUCAUCGAAUCUUUGAACGCACCUAGCACUCACUGGUAUUCCGGUGAGUACGCCUGUUUCAGUAUCAUUGAAAACACACAAUCAAAACAUUUUCUUUGGUUUGAUUGGCUUUGGGUCUAUCAAAAAGUUUGGCUUGUUUCUUACAAGCCAAGCGGCCUGAAAUAUAUUGUCUGGCUAAUUGCAUCGUUGAUGAUCGCUAUUAGACUUUGGCUUUUUUAAAUGAACUGGAGGUUGAUUAACCAGUUUUAGCUUUAGUCAAAUGGUCAUUGUAAAAAAAAUCUCGAUCUUGGCUAGGUGUUUAUAGCCGAAAAUUUUUUUUUGGCUAUAACCGAAACCAACAUAAUCACAUUUAGUUAUCGAUCUGAAAUCAGGUGGGACUACCCGCUGAACUUAAGC